rnacentral:rRNA from 1 species
CAGUCGCCGCGGUAAUACCGAGGGUGCGAGCGUUAAUCGGAUUUACUGGGCGUAAAGCGUGCGUAGGCGGCUUCUUAAGUCGGAUGUGAAAUCCCUGAGCUUAACUUAGGAAUUGCAUUCGAUACUGGGAAGCUAGAGUAUGGGAGAGGAUGGUAGAAUUCCAGGUGUAGCGGUGAAAUGCGUAGAGAUCUGGAGGAAUACCGAUGGCGAAGGUAGCCAUCUGGCCUAAUACUGACGCUGAGGUACGAAAGCAUGGGGAGCAAACAGGAUUAGAUACCCGUGUAGUCCCUGUCUCUUAUAC